UCAUGUUAGACACGCCUCUAUGUCCAAGGAACACCGCUUCAUACAUACACUGUUGUUAGCGACGUAGCCUCUACGGCCAGUUUCAUUUUUGACAUUUAUAUUUGAGACUACUUCUCAUAACUCCACUGUUUGUCACGGCAAGGUGAAUGCACGAAUAGCGGUUUACUGGUUGGGUCCUGGUACACUGGUGUGUCAAAUUGUUGCUGGUGGCAGUCCUGCGAGCCCUUUGAGUAUGCAUGUACAAUGAAGAGGCGUGUGGAGGACCAGGAACCAAUAUUCGCGCCCCAGCAACAGCAAACACGUCGUCCCCCAGUUCAAGGCAUUGCAGACAACUUCCAACACCGGGCACUCACCCCGGCCUCUACUGUGAUAGAGGCAGCUGCAGACAACAUGCAGCCAUCCACAGGCAUCCAGUAUUCUCUCCCCCAAGGCUACCAGGUGCCUACAAUGCCUCAGAGCACAAGUGGACACGGACAUGGACAUAACAAUGCUGCACCUCAUGUUGGUCCCCAUGCACACAGCCUGACAGUUCAGUCCCAGGGCCCUGCAUUGGUCCAAGGUCACGUUCAUCCCCCUGCACCCAUGACUUCAACCCAAGGACAGCAGUUUCAGCGACUGAAGGUUGAAGAUGCCUUAUCCUAUCUGGAUCAAGUGAAGCUGCAGUUUGGAAACCAGCCACAAGUUUAUAAUGAUUUCCUUGAUAUAAUGAAAGAGUUCAAGUCACAGAGCAUAGACACUCCUGGAGUCAUUAACCGUGUGUCCCAGCUUUUCAAGGGCCAUCCAGACCUCAUUAUGGGUUUUAACACGUUCUUGCCACCUGGAUAUAAAAUUGAGGUUCAAACCAACGAUCUAGUCAAUGUGACCACUCCAGGUCAGAUCCACUACAUCACCCCUCAUGGUAUUUCUGUUCAGAACAUCCCUAUAAGUGGAGCAUCCAGCCAACCUGCAAGCCACAACCAGCACCAGAGUCUGCCACAGGCGGGUCCGCACACUACCACCUCUACCACAACCACAUUACCCACCCCCACUCCCACCCCCACCCAACCUGCAUCAAAACAAACCAGCAAGCCAAUUCAGUCUCCAGCCCACACACCCACCAGCCAGCCCAACCCAUCCAUCCCAUCCUACGCCUCACCGCGCUCACCUUCGGUUCAGUCCCACACUCCUGUGAGCAGCACGCCGUCCAGUGGGCCACCUCUCCAGAACAACCAGCCUGUGGAGUUCAACCACGCUAUAAAUUAUGUCAACAAGAUCAAGAACCGCUUCCAGGGUCAGCCAGACAUCUACAAAGCCUUCCUGGAAAUCCUUCACACAUACCAGAAGGAACAACGAAAUGCUAAAGAGGCAGGAAGCAACUACACGCCAGCACUGACUGAGCAGGAGGUCUACACUCAGGUGGCAAGACUCUUCAAGAACCAGGAAGACCUGCUCUCAGAGUUUGGACAGUUCCUGCCAGAUGCAAACAGCUCAAUGCUGCUGUGCAAGGCUACACCAGACAGGGCAGAGUCUGUGCGUAAUGAUCAUGGCGGCACAGUAAAGAGACCCUUACUGAACAGCAAACAGAGACUGAGCCAGAAUGGCAUGCCCAUCAGGAGACCGGCUGGAUUGGGAGCUACACCGCCUGUCAAGAAGAAGCCCAAAAUAUUGGGGAAGGACCAAGGCAUGACUGAAGUCAGCAAACACAGCACCAGCACCGAAACUAUGUUCUUUGAGAAGGUGAAGAAGGCUCUUCGGAGCUCUGAGGCGUAUGACAACUUCCUGCGUUGUCUUCACAUUUUCAACCAGGAAGUGAUCUCUCGUGCCGAGCUGGUCCAGUUAGUCAUCCCAUUUCUUGGAAAAUUCCCGGAGCUUUUUACAUGGUUUAAAAACUUCCUGGGCUACCGAGAGUCUAGUCACGGAGAGUCGAGCCAUGCAGAGAGUUUACCCAAGGAGCGUGCAACAGAGGGCAUCGCCAUGGAGAUUGACUAUGCUUCCUGUAAGAGGCUGGGGUCCAGCUAUAGAGCACUCCCGAAAAGCUACCAGCAGCCCAAGUGCACAGGAAGGACGCCGCUGUGCAGAGAGGUUCUGAAUGACACAUGGGUGUCGUUUCCAUCGUGGUCUGAGGAUUCUACCUUUGUGAGCUCCAAGAAGACUCAAUAUGAGGAGCACAUUUACAGAUGUGAAGACGAGCGCUUUGAGCUGGAUGUCGUAUUGGAAGCCAACCUUUCCACAAUACGAGCCCUGGAGGCAGUGCAGCGGAGGCUUUCUCGUAUGUCAGCCGAGGAGCAGCUGCGCUUCAAGCUGGACAACACAAUGGGCGGCUCUUCGGAGGUCAUUCACCGCAAAGCUAUCCAAAGGAUAUAUGGAGACAAGGCCCAUGACAUCAUCGAUGGCCUCAAGAAGAACCCUGCUGUGUCUGUUCCCAUAGUGCUGAAAAGAUUAAAAAUGAAGGAAGAGGAGUGGAGAGAAGCCCAGAGAGGCUUCAACAAAAUCUGGCGGGAGCAAAAUGAAAAGUAUUACCUGAAGUCACUGGACCAUCAAGGCAUCAACUUCAAGCAGAAUGACACCAAAGUGUUGCGUUCAAAGACCUUACUCAAUGAAAUUGAGAUGCUAUAUGAUGACCACCAGGAUCGUGCAUCUGAGGAGACUGCCACACCACCACCGAGCGGCCCACACAUCACACAGUGCUACGAGGACAGCCAAAUCAUGGAGGACGCUGCCGCCCUCAUCAUCCACCACGUAAAAAGACAGGUGGGCAUCCAGAAAGAAGACAAGUACAAGAUCAAGCAGAUCAUCCACCACUUCAUCCCUGACCUGCUGUUCGCACGGCGAGGGGAGCUCUCGGACGUUGAGGAGGAGGAGGAGGAAGAAGAGGAGGAGGAAGAAGAAGACAUGGAGAUGGAUCCAGCCGGCCCCAAGAAGCACAAUGGCCUGCCAGGCAGCAGCCCAUCAAAGUCCAAGCUCCUCUUCAGCAACACGGCAGCUCAGAAGCUGCGAGGCACAGAUGACGCCUAUAACAUGUUCUUUGUGAACAACUACUGGUAUAUAUUCCUUCGUCUUCACCACAUCCUCUGUUCUCGUUUGCUGCGGAUCUACGGGCAAGCCGAGAAGCAGAUUGAGGAGGAUGCCCGUGAGCGAGAGUGGGAAAGAGAAGUGUUGGGGCUCAAAAGGGAGAAAAAUGAAAAUCCAGCAAUCCAGCUGAAGAUGAAGGAGCCAAUGGAUGUCGAUGUAGAGGAUUAUUACUCAGUGUUUCUGGAAAUGGUGCGUAAUCUUUUGGAUGGAAACAUGGAGCCGACUCAAUACGAAGACUCCCUGAGGGAAAUGUUUACUAUCCAUGCCUACAUUGCCUUCACCAUGGACAAACUCAUCCAGAGCAUCGUCCGGCAGCUCCAGCACCUUGUCACUGAUGACGUAUGUACGCGUGUAACGGACAUGUACCUGAGCGAGAGUGCCAAUAAAGCCACGGGGGGCACACUGUCCACGCAGACAUCCAGGGCCACAGCAGAGGGGACCUACCAGCGCAAAGCGGAGCAGCUCAUGUCUGAUGAGAACUGCUUCAAGUUGAUGUUUCUAAAAAGCCGAGGAUCUGUCAGUCUGGCCAUGGAGCUGCUGGACACCGAAGAGGAGAACUCUGAUGAGCCAGCGGAGGCAGAGAGGUGGUCAGACUACGUGGGUAGAUACCUGAAUUCCGAUUCUGCAUCCCCAGAGCUGCGUGAGCAUCUGUCCCAGAAGCCGGUUUUCCUCCCCAGUCCCCGCUCACCUGUACCCUCAGUGGAAUUUGAGACGGAUAAGGAAGUGCCAGAGAGGAUGGGAGCAACUACAGCAGGAGAGAAUGAACAAGGUCCCCUCGGACAAGUCGCAGGGCGGCACCAGUGAGCUGAAGAUGGAGUGCAUGUUCAAGCUCAACUCCUACAAGAUGGUCUAUGUCUGCAAGUCAGAAGAUUACAUGUACAGGCACACAGCACUCACACGAGCUCAUCAGUCCCAAGAGCGGGUCAACACACGCCUGCACAGGCGUUUUCAUGCCUGGCUGGACACAUGGGCCAAAGAGCACGUGACCAGCGACAUGGCUGCCGACAACCGCAAGUGGCUGAUGGGAGAAAGACGAGAAGGCCUAUUGCCCUGCACCACCAGUUGCAACCCUGAGGUCCUCCAUUAUAUCAACGUUAACAAGUAUCGGGUGAAGUACAGAACACUGUAGUUUCCCUUUAUUGAA